rnacentral:rRNA from 1 species
CCCCUAGAUGUUCUGGGCCGCACGCGCGCUACACUGAACAGUUCAACAAGUCUUAACCUUGGCCGAUAGGCCUGGGCAAUCUUUGAACGCCAGUCGUGAUGGGGAUAGAUUCUUGCAAUUUUUGAUCUUCAACGAGGAAUUCCUAGUAAACGCGAGUCAUCAACUCGCAUUGAUUACGUCCCUGCCCUUUGUACACACCGCCCGUCGCACCUACCGAUUGAAUGGUCCGGUGAACCCUCCGGAUCGGCUCGCGCCAACGCAAGUUGAGCAAAGGCCGAGAAGUUGGGUAAACCUUACCAUUUAGAGGAAGGUGAAGUCGUAACA